AGAUGUGAGGGUGAUCUGGCUGUGAUAUCUGUCAGCCCAUUGAUCACCAAGGUUGAUUCUGCUGAUCUGUCUGGUUAGGCAAGUGUCCCCUUUCUUCCUCGCUGCGCCAUGUGUGUCCCUCCUGAAGCUGAGUCAAGGAGGACGACCACCCCAGAAAGAGGAGCACCAUUUCCUCCAUCAAGGGUAUACGAGUAGCUGUGCUCCUCUGCUGGAACCUCCAAACAGACUCUUAAAGGAGAGGCUAUCUAGCUAUGCCUAAUGUCAUCACAUGAGCCCUUAAAGGCAGAGAGAUUUCUCCUGUUAGUGGC
ensembl:misc_RNA 7SK 7SK RNA